rnacentral:rRNA from 1 species
AUACGGAGGGUGCGAACGUUGUUCGGAAUUACUGGGCGUAAAGCGCGCGUAGGCGGUUUGUUAAGUCAGAUGUGAAAGCCCAAGGCUCAACCUUGGACGUGCAUUUGAAACUGGCAGACUUGAGUACUGGAGGGGAUGGUGGAAUUCCCGGUGUAGAGGUGAAAUUCGUAGAUAUCGGGAGGAAUACCGGUGGCGAAGGCGACCAUCUGGCCAGAUACUGACGCUGAGGUGCGAAAGCAUGGGGAGCAAACAGGAUUAGAAACCCCAGUAGUCC